UCGUACUUGAUUAACGGUAUCUCUACAUCACUUCGAUUGCCCACGAAUUAUGCCGUGUUGUAAUCGUUAAACUACAGAAAAAAAUGUUUAAACUAAUAUAAAAAGCACAAAUCAACGCAUAUGCACAUUGCGCUUUAAUAGUUCUAAUCUUUCGUUUACUUUAAAAAAAUUAAAGUGUUCAAAGCAGGCUCUCGAGCCUGGAUUAUGGUGCAUGGAAUAAUGGAAUAGGACCUCGGUUCUAUUUUGUUGGCUUUCGGAGCGCGAGGUAAUGAUUAAGAGGGAUAGACGCUUUCGUACUGUGAUAGGGGCAUUCGUACUGUGCCGUUAGAGGGGAAACUCUUGGAUCGGCGCAAGAAAACGAUUGCGAAAGUAUUUGCCAAGAAUGUUUUCUUUAAUCAAGA
rnacentral:ncRNA from 1 species